rnacentral:rRNA from 1 species
UACGUAGGGGGCAAGCGUUGUCCGGAUUUAUUGGGCGUAAAGAGCUCGUAGGCGGCUCGGUAAGUCGGAUGUGAAACCUCCAGGCUCAACCUGGAGACGCCAUCUGAUACUGCCGUGGCUUGAGUCCGGUAGAGGAGCAGGGAAUUCCUGGUGUAGCGGUGAAAUGCGCAGAUAUCAGGAGGAACACCGGUGGCGAAGGCGGAUCUCUGGGCCGAUACUGACGCUGAGGAGCGAAAGCUAGGGGAGCAAACGGG